GACGAACGCUGGCGGCGUGCCUAAUACAUGCAAGUAGAACGCUGAAGCGAGGAGCUUGCUCUUCUUGGAUGAGUUGCGCACGGGUGAGUAACGCGUAGGUAACCUGCCUGGUAGCGGGGGAUAACUAUUGGAAACGAUAGCUAAUACCGCAUAAAAUGGAUUAUCGCAUGAUAAUCCAUUGAAAGGUGCAAAUGCAUCACUACCAGAUGGACCUGCGUUGUAUUAGCUAGUUGGUGGGGUAACGGCUCACCAAGGCGACGAUACAUAGCCGACCUGAGAGGGUGGUCGGCCGCACUGGGAGUGAGACACGGCCCAGACGCCUAGGGGAGGCAGCAGGAGGGAAACGUCGGGAAUGGACGGAAGACUGACCGAGCAACGCCGCAGGAGUGAAGAAGGUUGUCGGAUCGUAAAGCUCGGUUGUAAGGGAAGAACGAGUGUGAGAGUGGAAAGUUCACACUGUGACGGUAACUUACCAGAAAGGGACGGCUAACUACGUG
rnacentral:rRNA from 1 species